CACGUAGGGUGCGAGCGUUGUCCGGAAUUAUUGGGCGUAAAGAGCUCGUAGGCGGUGUGUCGCGUCGGCCGUGAAAACCUGCAGCUUAACUGUGGGCUUGCGGUCGAUACGGGCAUCACUGGAGUUCGGCAGGGGAGACUGGAAUUCCAGGUGUAGCGGUGAAAUGCGUAGAUAUCUGGAGGAACACCGGUGGCGAAGGCGGCAUCCUGGACCAACACUGACACUGAGGAGCGAAAGCCAGGGGAGCAAACGGG
rnacentral:rRNA from 1 species